rnacentral:rRNA from 1 species
CAGUCGCCGCGGGAAUACGAAGGGUGCAAGCGCUAAUCGGAAUUACUGGGCGUAAAGCGUGUGUAGGUGGUUGUUUAAGUCUGUCGUGAAAGCCCUGGGCUCAACCUGGGAAUUGCGAUGGAUACUGGGCGACUAGAGUGCGGUAGAGGAUAGUGGAAUUUCCGGUGUAGCAGUGAAAUGCGUAGAGAUCGGAAGGAACAUCUGUGGCGAAGGCGGCCAUCUGGGACAACACUGACGCUGAGGCACGAAAGCGUGGGGAGCAAACAGGAUUAGAUACCCCUGUAGUCCCUGUCUCUUAUAC